UACGGAGGGUGCAAACGUUGCUCGGAAUUAUUGGGCGUAAAGCGCACGUAGGCGGUCCAGCAAGUCGGGUGUGAAAGCCCUCGGCUUAACCGAGGAAGUGCAUUCGAAACUACUGGACUUGAAUACUGAAGAGGAUCGCGGAAAUUCCCGGUGUAGAGGUGAAAUUCGUAGAUAUCGGGAGGAACACCAGUGGCGAAGGCGGCGAUCUGGGCAGAUAUUGACGCUGAUGUGCGAAAAGCGUGGGGAGCAAACAGG
rnacentral:rRNA from 1 species